rnacentral:tRNA from 1 species
UGGGAUAUAGCCAAGCGGUAAGGCAACGGGUUCUGAUCCCGUCAUGCGUAGGUUCGAAUCCUACUAUCCCAA